rnacentral:lncRNA from 10 species
CGGCGGCGGAGCAGGCUCGACCCGGGCUCGCACUUCCGCUGGCGUCAGGCGGGUGGGCUGCUGCGAUCACUUCCCGGUUGGGGCGCCGAGCUCCGGAGUCGGCCGCCAGCCUUUGGGCCCCACGCUCCGGGUCUGGUGCGCGGUCUGGCCGCGCUCGGGCCCUCGCCAAAUGAGAGCGCAGCGCCUCUCCGCCUUCGGAUCCAGAGAAAGAGCUUGUUGCUGCCUCUAAAAGGUUGGAGCCUUAGUAAGCGGUUCCUGCCUUUCCUGCACAGACCAGACCGCCGGGUGCUGGUCUGCGCUCUGCCGCGCGCCGACUGGGACAGCCCACCCACGAGAUCCUUGUUCCUGAAAUCCCUUUCCUUCCCUCAUCUGCCAAGAAAACUUUCAACUUUUGGGCUCUCCGCGCCUCCCAAGCUUCCUCGAAUCCCUGGGCCCUUGACUGUUCUGCCCUGAUGGCACUUGUGAAACUUCAGAGGGUAAAGGGGAAGUUUGCCCUUCACCCCUACAUGGUCAAGCUCAAGAUACCAAAAGACAUCAGCUGAAAAUUCAAUCAACUUGCCUGAAUCAUCCACCCCAAGCUUAGGAAGCAUGCUUGAACCCACCUGGCCAAGGCUGGUUUUGCCGGCCAAAGUCCAAGGCCAAGGCUCCAACCAAAGCCCAGACUUCAGUUGCAGCUCCAGUUCCAGUUCCAGUUCCAGCUCCAGUUCCAGUUCCAGUUCCAGCUCCAGAUCAAAUUUCCAAGGGUGCCCAUGCACACCCACAAAGGAUCUGGAGGAGAGGCCUCUGUCUACCAAUGGGAGGACAGAAGGACUGGUGUGAGCCCUGGGCUGCCAUCUGUUUCUGCAUGGAGCUGGUACCAUUCUUUUCUAUUUAUACAAACAAACAUGAGGCAGGAUCUGUCCAUUAAAAAAAAGAGGCCGGGCACAGUGGCUCAUGCCUAUAAUCCCAGCAUUUUAGGAGGCCGAGGUGGGUAAAUCACCUGAGGUUGGGAGUUCGAGACCAGCCUGGCCAAUAUGGUGAAACCUCUUCUCUACUAAAAAUACAAAAAUUAGCCGAGCGUCGCGGCACAUCUUUAAUCCCAGCUCCUCAGGAGGCUGAGGCACAAGAAUCACUUGAACCCAGGAGGUGGAGGUUGCAGUAAGCCGAGAAAACACCACUACACUCCAGCCUAGGCGACAGAAUGAGGCUCCAUCUUGAAAAGAAAAAGAAAAUUAAAAAGAAACAGUCUAUACAGGCUCAUUCCCUUUCCCCACUCAGAGUUUUUUCAAAGGAAUGUGGCCAGAUCUGGAGGUUUACCUGCCUUCUGGCUCUGAGGACUUUGCAGUUACUAUUUAAGGUCUGGUUAAUAGCUUCCUUUGCAUCGUGGUUGGUUAACAAGAGUAG